GCAGGGAUAGCUCAGUUGGGACAGCGUCAGACUGAAGAUCUGAAGGUCGCGUAUUCGACCCACGCUCCCCGCA
rnacentral:tRNA from 1 species